GGGCCCGUAGCUCAGCUGGUUAGAGCGCAAGCUUGCGGAGCUUGAGGUCGUUCGUUCGAAUAGUAUCGGGCAUACCA
rnacentral:tRNA from 1 species